UUCGUGAUUCGUGCUAGCGUGAUCUGGAAACGAGACAUCUAGCGAGAAAAACUCACUUUAGCGAAGAACGCUUUGUCACACAUUUAGGAUUUAGAAAUUGUCAGCAACCUGCGUUAGCAAGACCCAAGGGGCUGUUUUUAGUCUUUAUCUGUGCUCUCACAAAGUAACUUAAGUAAGAACUCAGAAAGACAAAAAUCAUUCGGGUAAUUUACUGAAUUUCGUAAAAGGGCAACAGCGCUUUCCAGUUGUCACGAAAGUUCGUCUGCAUUCUGCAGUAUGAAAAACAAGGUGGACAUAUUUUUACCAAAGUGAGGCUGAGGCUACAGGUGUCCCUAAACCCCCUAACGUGAUUGAAAACUUGAAACAAAGCCACGAUACGUAUAGAAUUUAUUCCGUGACAAAGUAGUCAAAUCAAGAAUGUUUGAAACAGCCCAUGUGCCCAGAUCACAUCAAUUGAUGCAUGAAGGCAUGGAGUGUUUCACCUGCAUCAGAUUUUUCAAUGUACUUGCUAAACCAAAAUGAGUGCUGCAAGAAAAUUUUGUUCUGUGUGUUUUUAUUAGACUGAAACCACUCCAACACUUUGCUACAAUGCAACAGCCUCAAGUCUAAGCUUUUCUAGUACAGUGUGCUGUUGAAGUUACCUCUUCUCGUGAAGUAUUCCAGCGAUGUAGAACAAGUAAGUGAACAUAAACAUUCAGUUACAGCAACAUCUACCUACGUGAACUGCCAGACACAAAGUUUGCCUUAACUAAAGGAAUUCUACAUGGGAACUGGCAUGGAUUACAGUUCCACAUCAGGCAACAAAGUAUCAGUGUUGAAGGAAAGCCAGUGAUAAGAACGUCUGAAAAGAAGUGCGGAAUCGACGAAUGGUCACCCAGAUUUUGCUUUUACGUGUUCAAGGAUCAACGGAGAAGAAAGUUGAGAAUCAUAUUUGUUAAUCUUCAUUCAACAUCUUCUAUGCAGCCAAUCUCUUACAACGUGAAAAACAAGAUUAUUGAACUCUGGAAUCUUUAGGUCACGACCGACAGCGCGAAUGCAGGUUCAUUUCAAAACGCAUCUUUGCCGAAAAAACUGAAAUCCUGGAAGAAAUUGGCUUUGGUAAUGAAACUCUUGCCAAGGAGGAAAAUAAUACGUGACAAUACUCGAGCCCCCAUCAAAUGAACUGUUGCUAUGGUUUUGGCCAAGACGGAAUUUGAAAAGCCCCUUUAACACCACAAGCUGUACUAUCUGAGAUCAUGGGUAGUAAUUUUACUUUUGAUCGUCAACAUGACCUACCGAUAUCAUCGUCUACUUCCAGGCAAAGCAUUUCAAUUAAGAACAUAUCCUGCGCAACGAUGGAAAUCUUUGUGAAACGUCCUCUUUCUACGAGACAAAAACCGGAAAGCUAAUCCCCCUACUAGAGUCCCACUUCUUGCUCUGGUAUCCUCAGAUGAGGUUACGUCACGUCUAGAUGGCUGUAAUGGUAUUACAUAAUUAGAUCCUCGACAAAUUUUUCAGCCGUUCCGUCCAGUCGUUCGUGGAUGAAAGGGAAUCUGUUGGUUUUCCUAGAUGGUUAAAAUUAUGGCCGAGUGUUUUCUUUAGAGACAAUUUCCGCCAUUUUUUUUUAGACAUUGAAUGAAAAUGUAUCGUGUUUGUCCAACAAAGGAUCAUCUCUUGACAUGGAAAGAAGAACAAUUGAUGCAAGAUCGUGAUUUGGUUAUCUAUUCGCUGUUAAUUAUUACUCCAGAGAUUGCAGCUCUCAUCAGUUCCAUGGGACCAUAACGCUGCCACUCCAGAGGUUGCCCUAAAGUGGCCAUCACAACUAGUUCUAAUUUAAGACCAAGAUAUUUGAUUUGAGGUUUUCGUCGCCGAUCCAAAGACCCGUUGGUGAAACUGAGGAGAGAAUGCUGAAAUUCAAGUCUGAUCAAAAAAUUAUGUAGAUGUAGAUAAAUGACAAGUGCAUAUCUGGGCUCCCUUCUUUUCUGUGGCCCCGUUUCCCUAACUAACCACUAACCAACGCCCGCCGGUGGUCACUCACCCGCUGUGA